UAUAUUUCCUGCCUUUAGGGUUUAAAUAUUGUGUGACUUCACCUGCCUUUCUGUUCUUUUUGAACAGUUUACACCCUUCAAUUGCCAUAUUCCAGUCAUGGAAUUCACCAGAGCAAGUGAACAAGAGGAGGAAGAAGAGCAACAGCAACAAUGAGGAAUCCCGCCGCCACCACUUUGUCAUCCCAAUCUCAUGCUGGAACUGGUAGAAAAAAAAAUCCACGGGUAUUAGCUGGUUUGGUUUGUCUUCUUCAUCACUCGCCCGCUAGAAAAACAAUUGAAAUGCCCAAACAGACUGGAGAAAA
rnacentral:lncRNA from 1 species